AUUGAACGCUGGCGGAAUGCUUUACACAUGCAAGUCGAACGGUAGAGGGGGCAACCCCUCGAGAGUGGCGAACGGGUGAGUAAUAUAUCGGAACGUGCCCAGUCGUGGGGGAUAACGUAGCGAAAGUUACGCUAAUACCGCAUACGAUCUAAGGAUGAAAGCGGGGGAUCGCAAGACCUCGCGCGAUUGGAGCGGCCGAUAUCAGAUUAGGUAGUUGGUGGGGGAAAGGCUCACCAAGCCAACGAUCUGUAGCUGGUCUGAGAGGACGACCAGCCCACAUGGAACUGAGACACGGUCCAGACUCCUACGGGAGGCAGCAGUGGGGAAUUUUGGACAAUGGGCGCGAGCCUGAUCCAGCCAUUCCGCGUGAGUGAAGAAGGCCUUCGGGUUGUAAAGCUCUUACGCAAGGGAAGAAAACUUAGCCACUAACAUUGGUUGAGGUUGACGGUACCUUGAUAAGAAGCACCGGCUAACUACGUGCCAGCAGCCGCCGUAA
rnacentral:rRNA from 1 species